rnacentral:rRNA from 1 species
ACUGCUCAGUAACACGUGGAUAACAUGCCCUAAGGUGGGGGAUAGUCUCGGGAAACUGAGGAUAAUACCCCAUAGGUCUUCUCUGCUGGAAUGCUUGAAGGCCGAAAACUCCGGUGCCUUAGGAUUGGUCUGCGGCCUAUCAGGUUGUAGUGGGUGUAAUAGACCCACUAGCCCGUGACGGGUAUGGGCCUUGAGAGAGGGAGCCCAGAGAUGGACUCUGAGACAUGAGUCCAGGCCCUACGGGGCGCAGCAGUCGCGAAAACUUCGCAAUGGGGGCAACCCCGACGAGGGAAUUCCAAGUGCCAGCACUUUGUGUUGGCUGUUCUCCUGUCUAAAAAACAGGAGGAGUAAGGGGCGGGUAAGACGGGUGCCAGCCGCCGCGGUAAUACCCGCGCCCCUAGUGGUGGUCGAUAUUAUUGAGCCUAAAACGUUCGUAGCCGGUCUUUUAAAUCUUUGGGCAAAUCGGGCAGCUUAACUGUCCGACUUCCGAGGAGACUGGAAGACUUGGGACCGGGAGAGGUCAGAGGUACUUCUGGGGUAGGGGUAAAAUCCUGUAAUCCUGGAAGGACCACCGGUGGCGAAGGCGUCUGACUAGAACGGAUCCGACGGUGAGGGACGAAGCCCUGGGGCGCAAACGGGAUUAGAUACCCCGGUAGUCCAGGGUGUAAACGCUGCGGGCUUGGUGUUGGGGGUCCUUCGUGGGCGCCCAGUGCCGGAGAGAAGUUGUUAAGCCUGCUGCUUGGGGAGUAUGUCCGCAAGGAUGAAACUUAAAGGAAUUGGCGGGGGAG